rnacentral:siRNA from 1 species
CAACGUGUCUGUCACUUCAAGUGU